rnacentral:lncRNA from 1 species
AGGCGUUGUGCUGGUAAGAUGUGUGAGCUAAAAGUGUGUGCAACAAGGGAGAAGGUCGGGUCAUGACGGUCACCACCUAAACAUUGGGUACAAGUCUUGGAAAUCCGUCAGGAGAUGGAGCACGCGUGCACUGCCACAAGUAUGGCACCCUGGUCCCUACGCGCUACCAACUUCGUAAGCCACAUCCGUUUCACCCUAGCUAACUCCUUAGCCACAGCGCGCUCGAGUUCGACGUGUCCCCCCAAGUGUCUGAGAAACCGUGGCAUCCUGCUCCUCAUCUGUGUCUGUUAGCAGUCCAUCUUCAGGUAUGCCUCUUCAGAAGAGGACGCAGACCUCGGAGGCGUGCGGUCCGGCACUGGUAGGGGCUGGGCCGUUUUAACUCCAUCAUUGGAGGCGUAGGUAAACCAAAUUAUUUGGUAUUGGUGUGAAAGGUAGUAUAACGAGGGUGAUGGAAGCAAAACUCGUAAGGUUCGUAACCAGAAUUGGAAUGAGAAAUAUUUUUUUUUUUUUAACAAAGUGAGGUUUGGAGAUGUGUAUUCCAAAUUAGUGUACCGUAGUGGUGGGUAAAUAGAAUGCACAAUAUGUACUAAACAUUUAACAGGGAACACCCACAUCACACUUAGCCUACAUUUGUGGACAAGAUUGUUCAUUUGUGCAACACUUACCUACAUCUGAAGACAAGAUUGUUCAUGUUCAUGAUGUAAAUGUUAAGGUAAAACUGUAUUUUACAGAUACUGCCGCUACUAAA